rnacentral:rRNA from 1 species
GCUGGCGGCGUGCCUAACACAUGCAAGUACGUGCGAGUAAAGCCCUUCGGGGUGAGUAGUAGCGGCGCACGGGUGAGUAACACGUGGGUGACCUGCCCUAAGGUUCGGGAUAACUCAAGGAAACUUGGGCUAAUACCGAAUGAGACCACGAGCUUUGGCUAGUGGGAAAAGCGGGGGCUCUCUUCGGAGACCUCGCGCCAUAGGAUGGGCCCGCGUCCCAUCAGGUUGUUGGUAGGGUAACGGCCUACCAAGCCUAAGACGGGUAGCUGGUCUGAGAGGAUGAUCAGCCACACUGGAACUGAGACACGGUCCAGACUCCUACGGGAGGCAGCAGUGGGGAAUAUUGCGCAAUGGGCGAAAGCCUGACGCAGCAACGCCGUGUGUGUGAUGAAGGCCCUCGGGUCGUAAAGCACUGUCAGUAGCCAA